rnacentral:rRNA from 1 species
GGGGAUCUGCCUGAUGGAGGGGGAUAACUACUGGAAACGGUAGCUAAUACCGCAUAAUGUCGCAAGACCAAAGCGGGGGACUUUCGGGCCUCGCACCAUCAGAUGAACCCAGAUGGGAUUAGCUAGUAGGUAGGGUAAUGGCUUACCUAGGCGACGAUCCCUAGCUGGUCUGAGAGGAUGACCAGCCACACUGGAACUGAGACACGGUCCAGACUCCUACGGGAGGCAGCAGUGGGGAAUAUUGCACAAUGGGCGCAAGCCUGAUGCAGCCAUGCCGCGUGUAUGAAGAAGGCCUUCGGGUUGUAAAGUACUUUCAGUCAGGAGGAAGGGUGUGAAAUUAAUACUUUCAUGCAUUGACGUUACUGACAGAAGAAGCACCGGCUAACUCCGUGCCAGCAGCCGCGGUAAUACGGAGGGUGCAAGCGUUAAUCGGAAUUACUGGGCGUAAAGCGCACGCAGGCGGUUUGUUAAGUCAGAUGUGAAAUCCCCGGGCUCAACCUGGGAACUGCAUUUGAAACUGGCAAGCUUGAGUCUUGUAGAGGGGGGUAGAAUUCCAGGU